rnacentral:rRNA from 1 species
UAGGGAAUCUUCGGCAAUGGACGGAAGUCUGACCGAGCAACGCCGCGUGAGUGAAGAAGGUUUUCGGAUCGUAAAGCUCUGUUGUUAGAGAAGAACGUUGGUAGGAGUGGAAAAUCUACCAAGUGACGGUAACUAACCAGAAAGGGACGGCUAACUACGUGCCAGCAGCCGCGGUAAUACGUAGGUCCCGAGCGUUGUCCGGAUUUAUUGGGCGUAAAGCGAGCGCAGGCGGUUCUUUAAGUCUGAAGUUAAAGGCAGUGGCUUAACCAUUGUACGCUUUGGAAACUGGAGGACUUGAGGGCAGAAGGGGAGAGUGGAAUUCCAUGUGUAGCGGUGAAAUGCGUAGAUAUAUGGAGGAACACCGGUGGCGAAAGCGGCUCUCUGGUCUGUAACUGAAGAAGAGGCUCGAAAGCGUGGGGAGCAAACAGG